rnacentral:rRNA from 1 species
GACGAACGCUGGCGGCGUGCCUAAUACAUGCAAGUAGAACGCAGUUGCGAACGGGUGAGUAACGCGUAGGUAACUGCCUCAUAGCGGGGGAUAACUAUUGGAAACGAUAGCUAAUACCGCAUACUGUUAGAUGGACCUGCGUUUUAUUAGUUAGUUGGUGAGGAAAAGGCUCACCAAGGCGACGAUACAUAGCCGACCUGAGAGGCGGUUCGGCCACACUGGGACGGAGACACGGCCCAGACUCUUACGGGCGGCAGUAGUAGGUAAUCUUCGGCAAUGGACGGAAGUCUGACCGAGCAACGCCGCGUGAGUGAAGAAGGUUUUCGGAUCGGAAAGCUCUGUUGUUAGAGAAGCGUUAACUAACCAGAAAGGGACGGCUAACUACGUGCCAGCAGCCGCGGUAAUUC